rnacentral:lncRNA from 1 species
CUUCACUUAAAGCCAGUGUGAUCACCAUGGCAACCGGCCUGUGUUUGUUCCAACAGGGCUGCGAGUGUCCAGCUGUAUUCGACCAAGGGCAGGUGCGACCGGGGGGCCGCUGCGCCCUCGGCAAGUCUGAGAGCCUCAGGCCCCCGACAGGACCAUGCUUAGCACGGACUUCUCAAAGUGUGGUCCCUGGACUGGCGGCAGCAGACUGGAGCUGGGAAGUGCAGGCGCUGGCUGGCGUGGGGACCACACCUGUGAUCUCAGCGCCUUAGGAGGCCGGGGAAGGGGGAUCCCUUGAGCCUGGGAGUUUGAGACCAGCCUGGGCAACAUAGGGAGACCCCCAUCUCCACAAAAGAAACCAAAAAACAUUAGCCGGCGGGUGGUCCCAGCUACUGGGGAGGCUGAAGCGGGAGGACCACUUGAGCCGGAGAGUUCGAGGUUGCAGCGAGUGGAGAUGGUGCCACUGCGCUCCAACCUGGUUGAGAGCUAUUUUUGAGAGCUUUUUCGAGACUCUGUCUGAAAAAAAAAGGGAAAAAACGCAGAUCGCGCCCCCACCCAGACUUCGGGACCAGCGGGUUGGGGACAGGACCCAUCAAUGCCUUAACAAACCCUGCAGG